CGGCUAGUAUAAGCAUUAUACCGUGAACUGCGAAUGGCUCAUUAAAUCAGUUAUCGUUUAUUUGAUAAUACCUUACUACUUGGAUAACCGUGGUAAUUCUAGAGCUAAUACAUGCUAAAAAUCCCGACUUCGGAAGGGAUGUGUUUAUUAGAUAAAAAACCAAUGCCCUUCGGGGCUUCUUGGUGAUUCAUGAUAACUUUACGGAUCGCAUAGCCUUGCGCUGGCGACGGUUCAUUCAAAUUUCUGCCCUAUCAACUUUCGAUGGUAAGGUAUUGGCUUACCAUGGUUUCAACGGGUAACGGGGAAUUAGGGUUCGAUUCCGGAGAGGGAGCCUGAGAAACGGCUACCACAUCCAAGGAAGGCAGCAGGCGCGCAAAUUACCCAAUCCCGACACGGGGAGGUAGUGACAAUAAAUACUGAUACAGGGCUCUUUUGGGUCUUGUAAUUGGAAUGAGUACAAUUUAAACCUCUUAACGAGGAACAAUUGGAGGGCAAGUCUGGUGCCAGCAGCCGCGGUAAUUCCAGCUCCAAUAGCGUAUAUUAAAGUUGUUGCAGUUAAAAAGCUCGUAGUUGAAACUUGGGCCUGGCUGGCGGGUCCGCCUCACCGCGUGCACUCGUCCGGCCGGGCCUUCCUUCUGAAGAACCUCAUGCCCUUCACUGGGCGUGUUGGGGAAUCAGGACUUUUACUUUGAAAAAAUUAGAGUGUUCAAAGCAGGCCUUUGCUCGAAUACGUUAGCAUGGAAUAAUAAAAUAGGGCGUGCGUUUCUAUUUUGUUGGUUUCUAGAGACGCCGCAAUGAUUAACAGGAACAGUCGGGGGCAUCAGUAUUCAGUUGUCAGAGGUGAAAUUCUUGGAUUUACUGAAGACUAACUACUGCGAAAGCAUUUGCCAAGGAUGUUUUCAUUAAUCAGUGAACGAAAGUCAGGGGAUCGAAGACGAUCAGAUACCGUCGUAGUCUUUGACCGUAAACUAUGCCGACUAGGGAUCGGGGCGAUGGUUCUUUUUUUCUGACUCGCUCG
rnacentral:rRNA from 1 species